UACGUAGGGUCCGAGCGUUGUCCGGAAUUAUUGGGCGUAAAGAGCUCGUAGGCGGUCUGUCGCGUCGAUCGUGAAAACUUGGGGCUUAACCCUGAGCUUGCGGUCGAUACGGGCAUGACUGGAGUUCGGCAGGGGAGACUGGAAUUCCUGGUGUAGCGGUGAAAUGCGCAGAUAUCAGGAGGAACACCGAUGGCGAAGGCAGUUCUCUGGGCCGUAACUGACGCUGAGGAGCGAAAGCGUGGGGAGCGAACAGG
rnacentral:rRNA from 1 species